AAUCUUACCACUCCUUGUAUAAUAAAUAUUUUCCUUAAGGGAUUGUUUUGACUUUGAGGAACUUUAAUUAAAUAAUAACAUAUAUACUUAUGAUAAGUCUUUAAACUUACUUAUAUAUAUUUGUAAUACGUCAUCUAAACUUAUAUUAAUAAUAAUUCAAUAGUUAUUAUUGAAUCGAUGACAUAAUUGUUGUUAAUGUGAUGGAUAGUAAUAAUAAUUAAAUAUUGUUAUGGGUGUGAGUAACAUUAGUAAUAAUAACUAAUUAUUACCAUUAUAAACCACAGUAAUAAUAAUUGAUUAAAUAAUUAAAUGGAAUGAAUGAUUAAGCAAUUAGUAAUUCAUUAAUAUUUAUUACAGGUGUUGCAUGGCUGUCUUUAGUUCGUGUUGUGAAAUGUUAGGUUAAUUCCGAAAACGAACGCAAUCCUUAUCUUUAUUUAAAACUAUAUAAAGAGGUAUCUUUCCAUAAGAAGGAAUAAUUAGGGUGAAGACAAGUCCUCAUGACCCUUAUGGAGUGGGCUACAGACGUGCCACAAAUAUUUCUACAAAGGGAAGCAAAGAUGAAAGUCUGAGCUAAUCCUCAAAAGAAAUAAAAGUACGGAUAAGAAU
rnacentral:rRNA from 1 species